GUAAAUACAAUUUAUGAAAGCAAAAAAUUAUGGCGGUACUUUAAGCUUUUCAGAGGAAUUUGCUCUGUAAUGGAUAAAACACCUAAAUCUUACUAAAAUUUGUUAAAUCAGUUUGUAUACCACUAUUAAAGUAGUAUUUCAUAACUAUUACUUAAAUUUUUUAAAAAAAUAAAUUAAGUCAAGGUGCAGCAAAAGUUUUAGGAUGAAGUGAAUUACAAUUCUUUUUAGUUUUUAAAAUUUUUUUAAAAAAAUUUUUAAAUAGGAUUUGAAAGUAAAAAAUCAAUAGUAUGGCUUUUUGAAUAAAGU
rnacentral:rRNA from 1 species